rnacentral:rRNA from 1 species
UACAGAGGUCUCAAGCGUUGUUCGGAUUCAUUGGGCGUAAAGGGUGCGUAGGUGGCGCUGUAAGUCAGGUGUGAAAUUUCGGAGCUUAACUCCGAAACUGCAUUUGAUACUGCGGUGCUUGAGGACUGGAGAGGAGACUGGAAUUCACGGUGUAGCAGUGAAAUGCGUAGAGAUCGUGAGGAAGACCAGUGGCGAAGGCGGCUCACUGGCCCGAUACUGACGCUGAGGCACGAAAGCGUGGGGAGCAAACAGG